UGGGGGAUAUUGCACAAUGGGGGAAACCCUGAUGCAGCGACGCCGCGUGGAGGAAGAAGGUUUUCGGAUUGUAAACUCCUGUCGUUAGGGACGAUAAUGACGGUACCUAACAAGAAAGCACCGGCUAACUACGUGCCAGCAGCCGCGGUAACACGUAAGGUGCGAGCGUUGUUCGGAAUCAUUGGGCGUAAAGGGCAUGUAGGCGGUCUGUCAAGCCAGGCGUGAAAGCCAGGGGCUCAACCCCUGAACUGCGCUUGGAACUGGCGGACUGGAGUCGCUGAGGGGGAACCGGAAUUCCUGGUGUAGGGGUGAAAUCUGUAGAUAUCAGGAAGAACACCGAUGGCGAAGGCAGGUUUCCAGCAGACGACUGACGCUGAGGUGCGAAGGUGCGGGGAGCAAACAGGAUUAGAUACCCUGGUAGU
rnacentral:rRNA from 1 species